rnacentral:rRNA from 1 species
GCAAGUCAGGGGCAGCACAAGGAGCAAUCUGAGGUGGCGACCGGCGCACUGGUGAGUAACACGUAUGCAACCUGCCUGUAAGCGGGGAAUAACCCGUUGAAAGACGGACUAAUACCGCAUAAUACUAAAUUACUGCAUGGUAAUUUAUUUAAACAUUUAUGGCUUACAGAUGGGCAUGCGCAUGAUUAGCUAGUUGGAGAGGUAACGGCUCCCCAAGGCAACGAUCAUUAGGGGUUCUGAGAGGAAGGUCCCCCCACACUGGUACUGAGACACGGACCAGACUCCUACGGGAGGCAGCAGUGAGGAAUAUUGGUCAAUGGACGAGAGUCUGAACCAGCCAAGUCGCGUGCAGGAAGAAUUGUCCUAUGGAUUGUAAACUGCUUUUGCAGGGGAAUAAAGUGCAUCACGUGUGAUGUUUUGUAUGUACUCUGCGAAUAAGGAUCGGCUAACUCCGUGCCAGCCGCGGC